UACGGGGGGGGCAAGCGUUGUUCGGAAUUACUGGGCGUAAAGGGCUCGUAGGCGGCCAACUAAGUCAGACGUGAAAUCCCUCGGCUUAACCGGGGAACUGCGUCUGAUACUGGAUGGCUUGAGUUUGGGAGAGGGAUGCGGAAUUCCAGGUGUAGCGGUGAAAUGCGUAGAUAUCGUAAGGAAGACCAGUGGCGAAGGCGGGUCUCUGGACAGUUCCUGACGCUGAGGCACGAAGGCCAGGGGAGCAAACAGG
rnacentral:rRNA from 1 species